rnacentral:tRNA from 1 species
GCCAGCAUGGCAUAGUGGUUUGAGCAAUUGACCAUAAAUCUGGAGAUCAGGGUUCAAUUCCCACUCGAGCA